rnacentral:rRNA from 1 species
UGGGGAAUAUUGCACAAUGGGCGCAAGCCUGAUGCAGCCAUGCCGCGUGUAUGAAGAAGGCCUUCGGGUUGUAAAGUACUUUCAGCGGGGAGGAAGGCGAUAAGGUUAAUAACCUUGUCGAUUGACGUUACCCGCAGAAGAAGCACCGGCUAACUCCGUGCCAGCAGCCGCGGUAAUACGGAGGGUGCAAGCGUUAAUCGGAAUUACUGGGCGUAAAGCGCACGCAGGCGGUCUGUCAAGUCGGAUGUGAAAUCCCCGGGCUCAACCCGGGAACUGCAUUCGAAACUGGCAGGCUAGAGUCUUGUAGAGGGGGGUAGAAUUCCAGGUGUAGCGGUGAAAUGCGUAGAGAUCUGGAGGAAUACCGGUGGCGAAGGCGGCCCCCUGGACAAAGACUGACGCUCAGGUGCGAAAGCGUGGGGAGCAAACA